AUUGAACGCUGGCGGCAUGCUUUACACAUGCAAGUCGAACGGCAGCGCGGGCUUCGGCCUGGCGGCGAGUGGCGAACGGGUGAGUAAUACAUCGGAACGUGCCCAGUAGUGGGGGAUAGCUCGGCGAAAGCCGGAUUAAUACCGCAUACGACCUGAGGGUGAAAGCGGGGGAUCUUCGGACCUCGCGCUCUUGGAGCGGCCGAUGGCAGAUUAGCUAGUUGGUGGGGUAAAGGCCUACCAAGGCGACGAUCCGUAGCUGGUCUGAGAGGACGACCAGCCACACUGGGACUGAGACACGGCCCAGACUCCUACGGGAGGCAGCAGUGGGGAAUUUUGGACAAUGGGCGAAAGCCUGAUCCAGCAAUGCCGCGUGUGUGAUGAAGGCCUUCGGGUUGUAAAGCACUUUUGGCGGGAACGAAAAGGACUGUGCCAAUACCACGGUUCGAUGACGGUACCCGCAGAAUAAGCACCGGCUAACUACGUG
rnacentral:rRNA from 1 species